CUUGUCCCGUCUCCUGAAGGCUGCCGAGACCCUCGCAUCGCUCGCAGUCACGGAAACAAGGCAACGUUAUCUUAUCAGCGAGACUCGAAACACUUCACAAUGCUUCCCUUACAUCUUUCCCUUGACGCAGCUACAGUUUCCAUCAUCCUCCUUAGUAAAGCUCCUCAGAAAGAGACGUGCAUGUAGAAAUCAUUGUCAUUCUUUUGGUGGUUCAGUUGACAGUCCGCUGGAAGUAAAAGUGGACGACAGAGCAAUGCCACGCCACGCCCUCUGCUUCCCCAUCUGCGUGCCCUGAAGCUGGCUGAUGCUCACGACGAUCUCUUUAUCACCUGAAACACAUCUGCUAUUUUCAAAAGGCUCCAGGAAGGUGACGCAACACUGAAAAUCUCCAUCAGAACUUUUCUUGAUUGGUCAUAUACCCUCGGAGGUCCAGCGGCGGUCCACCUCCAGCCAAGCAAGCAAUAGUGUCUUUAGCAAAAGAGAAGCUUUCAUGGAUGCAAUAUUGUUCUAAAAGCAAACUAAAUAAUUCCAUGAAUCAUAACAAUCAUCUGAACUGUUGGGACAACAACUUCCAUCACAUGAACACUGUUCAAUGCAAGACAGACUGGCCAUUUGGCAGGAACACUUCUGGACACAGUGCACUCCUUGUCAUGGCAGCACAGCAUUCAGUGAGCUGCUGGUGCACGGGAAGGAGGGAGGAACACUGGAUUGAGCCAUGAAGUAGCAGCAUCAGCAACAGACAGUGAACUUGCAGGUUUGAUGCUUGCCAUCCAGAAGCCAGCACGAGGCAGAGCUGGAGUGCCGGCGUGGCAGUACCGAGGUGAUGCUGUCUGAAUGGCAGGGCAAGCAGACCAAAGCUGAGUUGAAUUUUACAUGAAAAAUUUGGACAAAUGACCAAGUUGUACAAUUAGUGAGGUGGACAAAUGGCAGGGUUCCACUGUACAUUGAACUUGGGAAGAAAUUUUCAAAGGAAGCAUAAAGUGAGGUACAGAUGUUUGGUCUUUAUAUUGCUUUAUGUAUGUGAAGGAAAGCAGAAAAGGGAAGGCCUAUAGGUAAUGCCAGGACAACCUUAGGGGGACACACACAGAGUAGGCAAGACAUCACAGACAGAUGAGUAAAAGAUGUAGGAGUCUUACAAAACACUGAAGGGUCAGACUAAACACCUAGGCAUGAGUCUCUGCUGUGGGGGCAGUGGUGGGCACGACGGUUUUGUUGAGGGUGGUGGAGGCCACAGUGCACUCGUCUCGCAGGCUGGCCAUGAUCUUAGCAGGGUUGAUGGUGACAGACUUAGUGGUAUUGUACGUCUUGUAGAUCCCCACCAGGCGGUCAGCAAGCUCAAACAUCUGGGACCGCAGUGAUAUGAUGACAAACUGUGCAUUCUUUGUUCGUUCCUGUGAUGGAGAACAAGGAGUGAUCACUGUUGAGGAAAUAACUUCAAAAACUACUAUUAAAUCAAAGAACAAUUAAUGAACAGUUUGAGUAAUGACUGGAAGAAAUAAGAGUUUAAUUAAAAAAAAAAAAUAAUGAAGUUCGCAUCAUAUAGGCAGGAAGGAAGGAACAGAAGGGCACAGGCAUGAAUGUAUUGGAGAGAAAGUAGAGUAGGGAUGUGGUUAGUAGGGAAACCUUGCAUGCUCUACCUCCCUCUCUGUCUCAGCCCCACAGUAUUCUGACAAACCCACAGUCAGUCACCAUAGCCCCUCACCAAUAUAUCUACCACUACCCCCCCUCUCUCUCUGAUAUUAAUCCAGUUUUCUUCAUUUCAGAUUGCAAACAUGAUGGAGAAAGGGAAAGAGGAG
rnacentral:misc_RNA from 1 species